ACGGAAGGCAGCAGUGAGGAAUAUUGGUCAAUGGGCGAGAGCCUGAACCAGCCAAGUAGCGUGAAGGAUGACGGCCCUAUGGGUUGUAAACUUCUUUUUCCGGGGGAUAAAGUGACCCACGUGUGGGUUAUUGCAGGUACCCGGUGAAUAAGGACCGGCUAAUUCCGUGCCAGCAGCCGCGGUAAUACGGAAGGUCCGAGCGUUAUCCGGAUUUAUUGGGUUUAAAGGGAGCGUAGGCCGUGCUUUAAGCGUGUUGUGAAAUGUAGGCGCCCAACGUCUGCACUGCAGCGCGAACUGGAGCACUUGAGUACGCAGGAAGUAGGCGGAAUUCGUCGUGUAGCGGUGAAAUGCUUAGAUAUGACGAAGAACUCCGAUUGGGAAGCCAGCUUACUGUAGCGCCACUGACGCUGAUGCUCGAAAGCGUGGGUAUCGAACAGGAUUAGAUACCCUGGUA
rnacentral:rRNA from 1 species